UCCCCUGGCCCAUGAUGUAAAGCAGUGCUAGCCCAGGCUUUGCUUCACUGAAGUCUCACGAAAGCUAUUUUUUUUUUCCACAGUCUGGGACUGUGCCUUUCCUUAGCUGUGACCUAGCAGAUGCACUUUCUGUUGCAGAGGGAGGAUGUGAGAGAGGACGCCUGCCCAGGGCACGGUACUCAUGGAUCCGGAGUUGUUUAAGCUUCAUAACAUCACUGAUACAUGGAAUUUUCUCACUACAGUCCUGAGAGAAAGGUGAACCGUAUUGUUAAAUAAUUUGCAGAGUGUCACUGAGGACUGCCAGACUUGUGGUCCUCGCUAUCUGAGCUGGGAGAGGAGGUUGCUGCUCCCAGCUUAUCCCCAGCCGUCCGCCCCACGCUCCUGGUAAGAAUCUGCAAGCAGGAGUAAAUGCAUGCCAUCCGAGCAGAUGGAAAGGGAAAGAGAUCUUUGGUGGGUAAGAGAAGAAUAACCCAAAGGACGGUGACAUCU